rnacentral:rRNA from 1 species
GACGAACGCUGGCGGCGUGCCUAAUACAUGCAAGUAGAACGCACAGUUUAUACCGUAGCUUGCUACACCAUAGACUGUGAGUUGCGAACGGGUUAGUAACGCGUAGGUAACCUGCCUGGUAGCGGGGGAUAACUAUUGGAAACGAUAGCUAAUACCGCAUAAUAUUGAUUAUUGCAUGAUAAUUGAUUGAAAGAUGCUAUUGCAUCACUACCAGAUGGACCUGCGUUGUAUUAGCUAGUAGGUGAGGUAACGGCUCACCUAGGCGACGAUACAUAGCCGACCUGAGAGGGUGAUCGGCCACACUGGGACUGAGACACGGCCCAGACUCCUACGGGAGGCAGCAGUAGGGAAUCUUCGGCAAUGGACGAAAGUCUGACCGAGCAACGCCGCGUGAGUGAAGAAGGUUUUCGGAUCGUAAAGCUCUGUUGUAAGAGAAGAACGGGUGUGAGAGUGGAAAGUUCACACUGUGACGGUAUCUUACCAGAAAGGGACGGCUAACUACGUG